CGAGUGUACAAGAGUUGUAUUUUAACACCUCGACAUGUCAGAACCUGUAUUCCUUUGCAAAUCAACUGAGCCUAAUAUUUUUUUCUCUUGCUUUCAAGAUGCCAUCAGCUUUGUACAGGUCUAUUUUUACGUGAUCCAACUGUGUGCCUUCUGCAUUUCCCCUGUAGAGAGAACUGCUGAUACUGAUCCUCAGUGGUUAGACUUGCCGAUUAUACUAUGUGAAGAUAUUCAGGUGCUGGUAUACCUGUGGAAUCCUUGCAUCGCUAUUACAGAAGAGGCCUUUAACAGUGGAUACUGCUGAUGGAAGUUGAACAGCUACAUCUACAGCUUCUACGACAGCAACAACCUCUGCAUUCAAAGGUCACCAUCAUCUCUCAAUAAUCUCUUGUGAACAUCUUGAACCAGCUUUGUCUUGGGAGGUAAACCCAACUGGAGGUGGCUACAGGCAGGACUCCAUCUACAUGUAUGUUGUAGAGCUCACCCAGCUUCACAAAAUUCAUGCACUAUACCUGUGAUGAGUCAUUUUAAUAGUCCCUGAGCAACUCAUCAGUUCAACCCACAAUAGAACAAUGGAAGGCUCUAUUUCAGGGUAAGGCUAGGAGCUUUAUAGAUCUGCAUUUGGCUUGCCAAUCCCUUGUUUGCCCUCCGAAGUUCAUCACAAAGAAAUAAUUUCACUCUUCAACUUAAACAUACCAUCAUUCUUGGGCAUCUGUGGAUCCAGAAACAAGUCCUACAUUUCCAUGACCCACAAAGAGAUACCUCAUAAGAUGUUCAGCAAGACCAGGGCUACAGAACUGCCGACACCUCAGCCCUGCAUCUGCUCUAGACUUACUGCCCAAUGCCACACCUUUGCACUUCCAUCUACUCACAUGUACAGAUACCCUUCCCUUUGGUACCUGCCACACUCCAGCAGCAGAGCACGCAUCAACACCACCCUGAAUCCACAAAGUGUGUACAGCCUCAUUCGGCAAGGGGGUCCAUUAAAAACUGCUUUUUGAACAAUUUCAGGACAAUACAAACAUCAGCACACGCCUUAUGGUCUUGCCAGUGCCCUCUCUAUGUUUCGGGUUUUCAUAAAUGUAACUUGCUCAGCAGAUUAUUCAUGGUCAUAUAUACCCUGCAAUACCCUGG
ensembl:lncRNA